UAUUUUAUGUAUACAGACUAUAACUACGUUAAAGUGUAGAUAAUAUGUAUACAGUAAGAGUAAGACCUAUCAGCUAGUUGUUAAGGUAAUGGCUUAACAAGGCAGUGACGGGUAACGGUAUUACUUUGUAAUAUUCCGGAGAAGGAGCCUGAGAGACGGCUACUAAGUCUAAGGAUUGCAGCAGGGGCGAAACUUGACCUAUGGAUUUAU
rnacentral:rRNA from 1 species